CUUUGUCAAGGUCAAAGUCAAAGAAAAAAAAAAUUUUUACAAUAAAAAACAACACUAAACGAUCAUCAUCAUCAUCAUUAUCAUCAUCCAUUGCCAUUUUGGUUUGUCUCUCUUGUAUACAAAUAAAAGAGACCUCGAAAACCUAAAAAUUUUCUUUUUCCAUCAUGAUAGACAUAUCACACACACACCGAAAAAGAGACGAGAAUCAUAAUUAUGAAAAAAAAACCAGGCAAUAAUGAACAACUACUAAAUCAACCACCAAAAUGAGCUGUUUUUUUUUUUUUUUUUUGCUAUUGCAAUAAUCAUUCCCGAAUUAUCAUUGGAUACAUAGAAGACCACAUCAACAUUUGUGUGUGAAAAAGGGAAAAAAAAACACAUUUUUUCUUGUUUGAUUGUUACAUUCAUCACACACACACACGGAGAGAGCGAAAAAUGAACAUUCGUGUGUCUAAUUUUUUUUGCCAUCAUCAUUAUCAUCACACAACUAACUAAAGAUUCUUGACUUUGAUUCAAAAAGCGGCUGUUUUUUUUUGUUGCUCUCUUAGAAAACGAAACAAAAAGAUUCGGAUAAUUUUCACUUUGAAAUUAUUGCUGGAUAUGAUCCAAGAAUUGUAUCAAAUAUUAUUAUCAUCAUCAUCAUCAUCAUCAUCACCGUCAACAACGACAACGACAACGACGACAUUAUCAAAAUAGAGAUAUGUAUGUAUGGUGGUCUAAAUGAAAAUGAGAAUACGUCAUAUAAAGAAUGAAAAAUUCUAUCGAUUCUUUUGGUUUCUUUAUUCUGUGUUUAUGUGUGUGUGUGUGAGUGCGCGUUUUUUUUCUCGUCAUAAUGAAAAUAUUUUCACGAAAACUAUAACCAACCAAACGUUGAAUACAACCUUAAGCAACGAACCGAAUCUGAAUUUGUUGUUUGUUUUUUUUGUUAUUUACAUUUUCUAU